rnacentral:rRNA from 1 species
GACGAACGCUGGCGGCGUGGACUAGGCAUGCAAGUCGGACGGUAGGGCUUUAUCGUAAGAUAGAGUUUGAGAGUGGCGAACGGGUGAGUAACACGUAGGAAUCUACCCUUAAGACGGGGACAACCCAGGGAAACUUGGGCUAAUACCGGAUGAGAGUGCGAGAGAUUGCAUUUAAAAGGAUGGCGAAAGUUGUCGCUUAGGGAUGAGCCUGCGGUCUAUUAGUUAGUUGGUGAGGUAAGAGCUCACCAAGGCGAUGAUAGAUAGGCGGCCUUAACGGGUGGUCGCCCACACUGGGAUUGAGAUACGGCCCAGACUCCUACGGGAGGCAGCAGUCGAGAAUAGUCUACAAUGGUCGGAAGACUGAUAGUGCGACGCCGCGUGAACGAUGAAUCCCUUCGGGGUGUAAAGUUCUUUUAUAUGUGAGCAGUGCUUCUUAUAUUAACAGUAUGGGGAGAGAGAUAUUAGCAUAUGAAUAAGCAACGGCUAACUCCGUGCC